rnacentral:lncRNA from 1 species
GAAGUGGAUUGCCGUGGGGAGUGUAUACUACCACGGGGCCAUUAGGCGCGGCGCAAGCUGGAUUACCUUGAGUAGAUCCCUAUGAAUGAAAGGAAAGUGCUAAAGGAUAUUGGACAGUAAUGAAUGAUUACCAGUUACAGUGUACAGUAGUUACUUACACAUUUAUGCUUUUGUUCAUGCUUAUAGUAGUUGCUAUGCUUCUAUUAAUCAGUUGAUUCAUUACUGUUGAGA